AACUAACGCUGGCGGCGUGCCUAACACAUGCAAGUCGUACGAGAAAGUCGGCUUCGGCUGAUGAGUAAAGUGGCGCACGGGUGAGUAACGCGUGGAUAAUCUGCCUUUUAGUUGGGAAUAACGUACCGAAAGGUGCGCUAAUACCGGAUAAUACUGAGCAACUACUGUUGCUUAGUCAAAGAAGGCCUCUGUUUACAAGCUUUUGCUGAAAGAUGAGUCCGCGUACCAUUAGCUAGUUGGUAGGGUAAUGGCCUACCAAGGCUACGAUGGUUAGCUGGUCUGAGAGGAUGAUCAGCCACACUGGAACUGAGACACGGUCCAGACUCCUACGGGAGGCAGCAGUGAGGAAUAUUGCGCAAUGGGGGCAACCCUGACGCAGCAACGCCGCGUGAGUGAGGAAGGUUUUCGGACCGUAAAGCUCUGUCGAGUGGGAAGAAUGUAUCGUGGCUAAUAUCCAUGAUACUUGACGGUACCGCUAAAGGAAGCACCGG
rnacentral:rRNA from 1 species